GCCCUGACUGUGCAAGAUGUGUGAAAUAUAUAAUAUUUUCUUUUUACAAAAAAAA
rnacentral:rRNA from 1 species